GGGUCAGUAGGUUGGUCGUGCCACCGGUACGUACUGGUCUCACUGAUUCCUCCUUCCUGAAGAACCGUAAUGCCAUUAAUUUGGUGUUGCGGGGAAACAGGACUGUUACUUUGAAUAAAUUAGAGUGCUUAAAGCAAGCUAACGCUUGAAUACAUUAGCAUGGAAUAAUGAAAUAGGACGAUCGAUCCUAUUUUGUUGGUUUCUAGGAUUGACGUA
rnacentral:rRNA from 1 species